GAUGUUUCUGUUCAGUCUGUGUCCUGUGUCUGCUCUCCUCUCCUCCCUCCUCUCCUCUUUCUGUGUCUACUCCUUCUGCAGAACAACAGCUGCAGCUGAGACUCAGGUUCCUCUGAACAGGACUACCACCAGGGGAAGUGAGAGAAGAGAGAAGGAGGAAGGAGAUCUGUGUUAUGCCUCGUUGGAUAUCCGUCAGGGACAGAGGAGACCAAAGAAGAAGAAGAGAGUCCAGAACUCUGACUUCAGUACCUACACAGCCAUCAAUACCAGCAGAGUGUGAGACCUAUACCAUCCAUCAAUACCAGCAGAGUGAGAGAUCAAUACCAGCAGCUGGGAGGAAAAACAACAGUUUUUAUAUUUUUACGAGUUACUUAAUAUUUGGGGGGAUAUUUGUUUAACCUUUUAAAAUCAUUUCAUACAACUUUUGCCUGUAGCCUUUUAAUAAUAAUAACAAUAGUGAUUUAGAAAAUGUUUUUCAGCUCAGGGAAUA